rnacentral:rRNA from 1 species
GUGAAAUUGUUGAAAGGGAAACGAUUGAAGUCAGUCAUACCAACGGGAAAUCAACCUUUUGAGUUUGGUCUCGUGGGUUUUGAAGAGUUUUUUAAAAGCCUUCGGAUUCGCGGGAUUGGGAUCUCUUGGUGUACUUUUUCGUACGGUUAGUCAACAUCGGUUUUGAAUGUCAUAAAAUGACUGGAGGAAUGUAGCUUCGAUCUCGUAUUGAAGUGUUAUAGCCUUUGGUAGAUGUAAUGAUUGGGAUUGAGGAUUGCAACGGAUACCCUCUGGGCUAUUCGUCUGAUCUCUGGAAGUUACCUUGGUGUCGAAAGCGUGCUUACGAUAUUAAGGUUGACGGCCAAUAGGUUAGAACGUGAUUAAAUUCGUUAAGGAUGUUGACGUAAUGGCUUUAAACGAC